rnacentral:rRNA from 1 species
UACAGAGGUCUCAAGCGUUGUUCGGAUUCAUUGGGCGUAAAGGGUGCGUAGGUGGCGCCGUAAGUCGGGUGUGAAAUUUCGGAGCUUAACUCCGAAACUGCAUUCGAUACUGCGGUGCUUGAGGACUGGAGAGGAGACUGGAAUUCAUGGUGUAGCAGUGAAAUGCGUAGAUAUCGUAAGGAAGACCAGUGGCGAAGGCGGGUCUCUGGACAGUUCCUGACGCUGAGGCACGAAGGUCAGGGGGAGCAAACGGG